ensembl:lncRNA
GUUUGGCAGUAAUAGUGGACAGGGAGGUUCAGAGAGGGACGUGGUCUGGAAGUAAUAGUGGACAGGGAGGUUCAGAGAGGGGCGUGGUCUGGCAGUAAUAGUGGACAGGGAGGGUCAGAGAGGGGUGUGGUCUGGCAGUAAUAGUGGACAGGGAGGGUCAGAGAGGGGCGUGGUCUGGCAGUAAUAGUGGACAGGGAGGGUCAGAGAGGGGUGUGGUCUGGCAGUAAUAGUGGACAGGGAGGUUCAGAGAGGGGCGUGGUCUGGCAAUAAUAGUGGACAGGGAGGGUCAGAGAGGGGCGUGGUCUGGCAGUAAUAGUGGACAGGGAGGGUCAGAGAGGGGCG